CGGUGUUCAACUGGCGUGUCCGCGGGACGUCCUGCCGGUGGGCUUAGCCCGCAAGGGCGGCCCAACUUUAAAUCCCAUCGCGGUGCUCUUCACUGAGUGUCGAGGUGGGCCGGCACGUUUACUUUGAACAAAUUAGAGUGCUUAAAGCAGGCUAAAACUUCGCCUGAAUACUGUGUGCAUGGAAUAAUGGAAUAGGACCUCGGUUCUAUUUUGUUGGUUUUCGGAACCCCGAGGUAAUGAUUAAUAGGAACGGAUGGGGGCAUUCGUAUUGCGACGUUAGAGGUGAAAUUCUUGGAUCGUCGCAAGACGGACAGAAGCGAAAGCAUUUGCCAAAAACGCUUUCAUUGAUCAAGAACGAAAGUUAGAGGUUCGAAGGCGAUCAGAUACCGCCCUAGUUCUAACCAUAAACGAUGCCAGCUAGCGAUCCGUCGACGUUCCUCCGAUGACUCGACGGGCAGCUUCCGGGAAACCAAAGCUUUUGGGUUCCGGGGGAAGUAUGAUUGCAAAGCUGAAACUUAAAGGAAUUGACGGAAGGGCACCACCAGGAGUGGAGCCUGCGGCUUAAUUUGACUCAACACGGGAAACCUCACCAGGCCCGGACACCGGAAGGAUUGACAGAUUGAGAGCUCUUUCUUGAUUCGGUGGGUGGUGGUGCAUGGCCGUUCUUAGUUGGUGGAGCGAUUUGUCUGGUUAAUUCCGAUAACGAACGAGACUCUAGCCUGCUAACUAGGCGUAUUUUCGACAUCUCAAAGGUCCGUCGUCCCGGCCCUCGGGUCGUGGGCGUGCGCGAUUUUUACUGUCGGCGUACUAUCAAUUCUUCUUAGAGGGACAGGUGGCUUCUAGCCGCACGAGAUUGAGCAAUAACAGGUCUGUGAUG
rnacentral:rRNA from 1 species